UUAUAUCAUUUUAUUGAAACUAAGAUAUCUUGAUAACAACUUUUCUAUUUUUACGCGAUAAAUAAAUAAAGAUAUGCAAUCAAAUAAAUUAGUUAUAUAAUAAUUAUAUAUAUAAUAAUGAAUAUUACAUUACAGAAUAAUUAACAGAAUUUUUUUUAGAAAUUUUUUUAGAAAGAGGAGGAAAAAAACUUUCGAAUGAAUCUAUUACAAAAAAAAGAUUGUUCUCAUAGCAAUGGCGAUAGUGCCGUAAACGAAAUCGUAUUUAUUCGAUUUCAAUUGAUAUGACCUGCUUACCAGAACUAGUUACAAUGAAAAAAGCCGAGAAACUAGAGGAAACAUCGAAUACCGUGGAGAAACGUUACCGUAUGAGUAAUCGUUACGCACAGCACGUCGACAGUUUUAUCAGGAAAACAGAUCUACCGUGUCUCGAUUGAGAAGUCUCUAAAGAGAAGUCUAGAUUGAAAGACGAAAGAAUAAGCCGGGAAUAAGGGUAUAUUCCUAAAAUCAGCGUUGAAAAGGAGCAAAGGAAGAAUCGUGUUGUGAAUGGAAGACUCGACGAGUCCUUUCAAGACGAAGAAACACUCGAGCCGUUUCGCUUCAGUAACCGCGGUCUUGGUUCAGCUCCUCCCGGAUUCCUUUGUUUAAUGCCUUAUUGCGAUAUUUUAACACGGUUCCGCUGUUGCCAUGCGGCUCCACGCUUACCCUGCUCGUCGUGUGUCGCCACAGUCGACCAAGAAUCAUCUUGCUCUAUACACACGUUGCAGUUAUGCAAUCGAGAUGUUUUUUCUUUGGGAUUACCUGUCCUUUUUAGGAGGAUCUUUCAGAUCGAUACUAUGUUUGUGUUCCAAAAAAGAAAAAUUUCGAUAUCGUUGAAAAAAAAUUUCUCUCAUAAAGAAGAAGGAAAAGAUAUUUUGAAUUGUUUUCAUCACUAUUUUAUCCAGACCAUUAAUCUAUAUUAAAUAGAUUGAAAUUUUUAAUUCAUACUAGAAAAAAUUCAUUGAAAUGAUUAAUUUUAGAAGAAAAAUCAAAUCGAGUUAUAAACAAACGCAACAGAGUGUUAAAAUUGUACUGUCGACUUAUUUCCACGGGAAGAAGAUUUAAUAACACUGUUAACAAUGUAAGUGAGGCUAGGAGUGAAGUUGAAGAAGAAAGAGCCUUCUCCAAGCAGCGAAAAUAAUAGUUUGCAAGAAGCGCGGAUAUCCGGCGGAUGCUCGUAUGCGUAAAUGUUCUAUGGCUUGUGUUAGACGUUGUGUUAGAAAUAAACUAUAUACUUUUUUAAUAUUCGUACUUUGCAAAAAUAAAUUUUAUAAAAAUUUUUUAAAAAUAUGUAUUUAAUAUAUCUUCUUAUUCGCGAUAAAAAAAUAGAUUAAAAUUGAAGAUUAUAACCUAAAAAUAAUUAUUGAUCUUUCGCAAGUUUAAGCAUUGUUUAUAUCAUUCCAUCUUAUCUAUAAAUAGUCUAUAAAUUAAAACACAGUUUUAAUUUAUUUUUGAAUUUACAAAUGAAAGAUUUAUAAAAAAAUUCAGAUUCAUUAAAUUCACAUUAUUAAUAUAUUAAUCAAAAAAUAAUAUAUUAAUACAAAUAUUGUUAACUAAAAAUAUGUAAGAAGUUUAUUUAUUAAUACUAAUAAAAUAAACGAUCUAUCUAAUAAUAUCUAAAAAAUACAAUGAAUCAUUAAAAAAAAGAAAUCUUUUAAGAUAAAUUACAUCAAAAUUAUCAUCACGUGAUUAUUUCAAUCUCACCAUUUAACAGGUUAACUAUCUAACUACAAAGUUUAGCAUCGGUAAAAUAACGAACGGUUGAACCCAGCUGUGAAUCCUUAGAAAUAGCUGACAGGUUUUGUCGAACUCGCAUGGAUGUUUUAAUAUCAUCCGCGUAAUGAAAACAAGUAAAAACAGGAUCCAAGUGACAGCGGCGUCUAAAGUGCAGCUGCAAGUGGAUGAGCGUGCAGUGAAUUCCGAGUGCGUCUAAUUAAAAGUCAUCUGCAUAUUUAUGGAAGGGGAAGCGGGGAGAAAGGGCUGGCAGGAUUAACAGUUGAAGAAACAGAAAAGGGAGAGGAGGAGGAGGAAGAUGGUGACGUUGCUGUUGGUAUAUUAAAAAUAAAGGGUGUAACAAAGAAGCGGAAGAAACGUCUCUGGUUAAAGUGGCCGUGUUUACUACUUUUUAUAUCUCAUUAUGAGCCGGUGUUCUUCCUAUAUGGAAUUUUUAUCCUGCAUAGCUUAAGAUGGAUGAAUAAAAAGGGACGCGGAUACAUUCUUUCGGUAGAAAGUCAUGAUAGAAUUGCUAAAUUGAAAGCAUUUGCAUAACAAGAUACAACAAUGUUUUGAGGAUAACGCUGAUGUUUCAACGCUUUUUACAUGAUAAUAGUGGCGCUUACAAUUGUUCGUUUGAUUAUUUGUUAUUGUCAAGGAUACUAUUCUAUGUAAAUUGUGUAGUUUAUCGGUUAAACGAAGGUGGUUUUACAUUCCUAGAUCUAUGAUCGAUUGGUUUUUGAAGAUUUAUAAAUCUAUGGAAUUCUUUUUUUUACUUUUAUGAAAAAUAAAUUUAAAUUCUAGAUUUCUGAGAAUAUAUAAAUUUUUCUAUCAAGUAUUUACAAAAGUUUUUGUCAAUAUUUUUUUUAUUUUUUGAUUAAAAAACGGCAAAAAUUUUUUUGGCAUCUAAUAAUAAUUGUGAUGAAAAUAUUUUAAUCUAUAAAAAAAUUGCUAAAAUAGAGUUUUGCUUAAUUUUUGCAUAAAAAUAGUAUUCUUUAUUUCGUAGAAUCGAAAAGAAUUCCAUUAAAGAAUGCCGGCAGCGAUAAUUGCAUGGUUCGUGACCAAGAAGUAUAUUUUCACAGACGACUGUACCGGAGUUUCGCGGAGAAAGAGAUUUCCGGGCUCCUUUCAAUGAACGGCCAACAUUCUCAUGGUGAGAAAAUAUAUUUCACACGACGAUGAUCAUUCUCGCGUUUCUCUUCUUUUUUUACCAAAUUUCCAAAAAUUUAUUUUUUAUUUAAAUCCAGGAAAUUCAAUAAACAAUGAAUUAUUUUGAAAUCUUAAACAUUAUUCUUCCACAUUUAGUCGUUUAAUUUUAAUUCUAUAAAACGAAAUAUUUUUCAUUAACACACUUUUAGAAAUUUUUCGAAUAAUUUUCAUGCACAAUUUCAUGCAAAUAUGUUAGAUAUUCUAUAUAUUUAUAUAUAAUUUUGAAAAUUAUAAAUGAAAUUUCUUUAAUAUUCAAAAAUAUCUAAAAAACUAAAAUCUAAAAAUAAUUAAAAAUACAAUUUGUUUAUUUUAUAAACAUAGUAUGAUGUACAAGUGGCAAAGGACGACAACCGCCUCGAUGAUUAAUUCGCAUCACGCGUAUACAAGCGCAUAAUUGCAUGCCCUUUGCAUCAUGGUUGAAUACGAAACGAAAAGAAACAUUGUUUGCAAACUGUCAUCGAUAUUAAUUACAAAAUCAACGUCUUUCACAGGAAGAAAAGCCGAGAAUACUUAUGAUCGCAUUUAACUUUAAGGAUUCGAAAAAAAUAGCUUAAAAAACAAGAUAAAAUAUUUUUAUAACAAUAAAUUUCUUAUCGAUCUUAUCUCUUGAUCAGAAAAUUCUAUCGAUGAAAUAAUAAAUGUUUAUUUGUAAAUUUUAGUAAUUAGUAUAACUAUUGGAGAACAGAAUUUACCAAAAUUUUUACAUAAUUUUUCAUUAAUUUUCUAGCAGCUUAGCAGAUGUUAUUAGAGAUUAAUUAAUUUAUUUUUUAAUUUAUUUUUUUUUUAAUUGAAAUUUGUUGGCAUAUAAUUUUGAUGAAAAAAUAAUCAAAAAUCGCUUGAAUCUGAAUUUGAAUUUUAAUUGUUCAGUUUAUUAAAAUAUAUUGAGAUAUGAAUAUAUUGAAUAUAUUGAAAAAAAACAAGAGGAUAGAUAUAUCAUAAUUAUUUUAAAAAUAUAAUUUAAAAAAAAAAUUAAUUGAAUAAGUAAUUAAAAAAAAUAUUUUUUAUUUUUAAAUAUUUUCUUCCUUUCAAACAAAAUACAGUUAAUAAAAAUUCCCUAUAUUAUAAUAAAAAUGAUAUGCACAAGAAAUAGGACGAUUUUAAAUACUUGUUUCUGAUUGACAUUCUUAGAACAAAUGUAUGUUUAAGUAAUUACAAUGAUUAAAUCAGAAAAACUUAAAAAGAAAACCUAAUAUCUCGGUUAAAAUUUUCGAUUAAAAUUUCAUUCAUAAGAGGAAAUAAUGUCAGAAAUUUUUCAAUAUAAUCGUUCUAUCGAUAUUCAAUUGAAUAUUUAUGACAAUAAUAUAAAAAAUUGUUUAAAAAACAAUUAAUAUUUGAUAUAUGAAAUCUAGUUGUUCUUAACAAUAUUUAGAAAUGUAUAAAUUUUCAAGAUCUAUAAAACUUGUAAAUUUAUGAAAAAAUUAUUAAUUUCACUUAUAUUUCAUUAUUAAAUAAAAACUUUAAUAAAAUAAGGACAAUAUUCUAUGUACCCUUGAUUUUCAUAAAUUAAAAUAAAAAUCUAUACUUUUCCCCUUCACAAAAUAUAAAAAAUUCAUUAUUUUCAUUAAACUUUUCAUUAUUUAAAUAAAAUAAAAAAAUAUUUAUACAUAAUUUUUCACUACACGUCAAACUUACCAACACGUAAUUCGUCUCCACUGAUCUACACGAUUAUUCUCUUCUUUGUCUAUCAGAACACAAUAAAUCACUAUGCGAGACACUGA